rnacentral:rRNA from 1 species
AUUGAACGCUGGCGGAAUGCUUUACACAUGCAAGUCGAACGGUAGAGGGGGCAACCCCUCGAGAGUGGCGAACGGGUGAGUAAUAUAUCGGAACGUGCCCAGUCGUGGGGGAUAACGUAGCGAAAGUUACGCUAAUACCGCAUACGAUCUAAGGAUGAAAGCGGGGGAUCGCAAGACCUCGCGCGAUUGGAGCGGCCGAUAUCAGAUUAGGUAGUUGGUGGGGGAAAGGCUCACCAAGACAACGAUCUGUAGCUGGUCUGCCUGGACGACCAGCCACGCUGGGACUGAGACACGGUCCAGACUCCUACGGGAGGCAGCAGUGGGGAAUUUUGGACAAUGGACGCAAGUCUGAUCCAGCCAUUCCGCGUGCAGGAUGAAGGCCCUCGGGUUGUAAACUGCUUUUGUACGGAACGAAAAGGUCUCUCUUAAUACGGGGGGCUCAUGACGGUACCGUAAGAAUAAGCACCGGCUAACUACGUGCCAGCCGCCGCAGUAA